rnacentral:rRNA from 1 species
UACAGAGGUCUCAAGCGUUGUUCGGAUUCAUUGGGCGUAAAGGGUGCGUAGGCGGCGCGGUAAGUCGGGUGUGAAAUCUCGGAGCUUAACUCCGAAACUGCAUUCGAUACUGCCGUGCUUGAGGACUGGAGAGGAGACUGGAAUUUACGGUGUAGCGGUGAAAUGCGCAGAUAUCAGGAGGAACACCGGUGGCGAAGGCGGAUCUCUGGGCCUUACCUGACGCUGAGGCGCGAAAGCAUGGGGAGCGAACAGG